UGAACGCUGGCGGCAGGCCUAACACAUGCAAGUCGAGCGGUAGAGAGAAGCUUGCUUCUCUUGAGAGCGGCGGACGGGUGAGUAAUGCCUAGGAAUCUGCCUGGUAGUGGGGGAUAACGUUCGGAAACGGACGCUAAUACCGCAUACGUCCUACGGGAGAAAGCAGGGGACCUUCGGGCCUUGCGCUAUCAGAUGAGCCUAGGUCGGAUUAGCUAGUUGGUGAGGUAAUGGCUCACCAAGGCGACGAUCCGUAACUGGUCUGAGAGGAUGAUCAGUCACACUGGAACUGAGACACGGUCCAGACUCCUACGGGAGGCAGCAGUGGGGAAUAUUGGACAAUGGGCGAAAGCCUGAUCCAGCCAUGCCGCGUGUGUGAAGAAGGUCUUCGGAUUGUAAAGCACUUUAAGUUGGGAGGAAGGGCAGUUACCUAAUACGUGAUUGUUUUGACGUUACCGACAGAAUAAGCACCGGCUAACUCUGUGCCAGCAGCCGCGGUAAUACAGAGGGUGCAAGCGUUAAUCGGAAUUACUGGGCGUAAAGCGCGCGUAGGUGGUUAGUUAAGUUGGAUGUGAAAUCCCCGGGCUCAACCUGGGAACUGCAUUCAAAACUGACUGACUAGAGUAUGGUAGAGGGUGGUGGAAUUUCCUGUGUAGCGGUGAAAUGCGUAGAUAUAGGAAGGAACACCAGUGGCGAAGGCGACC
rnacentral:rRNA from 1 species